CCCAAUCCGCAUCAGCAUAGGCUCGUAAUUGGAGAGAAUAGUUAGAGGAGAAAAAUAGGUCUCUAUGGCAUGUAACCCGCCGAUAACAAAUGAUAUGAUGGGGAUCUGUAACAAAUUGGCUGACGACCUGUACUGCAUGAGAUAUAUCAAGACGAGUCAUAGUAAGAUAAAGUAGACUGCCAACAGGAAUAAAGUAAACUGCCAACCAGUAAGAUAAAGUAGACUGCCAACCAGUUGUCUAUAAAAAAUGGGAUAUGGAAGUUUGUUCCCAGCAUCUUUUUUGGUUAACUACAUAUCAAUUGGGGGAAUAAUGAAUCUUUAGGCCAAGAAAGUAAGUCAACGGACCCAAUUCUUUCAUUUUGAAUGAGUAACUGAGAAACUCUUUCAAGUGAUGUAUAUUAUUAAGGUUGUCUCCUGUGAUGAGAAUAUCAUUAACAUAUAAGAGAAGGAUUGUUAUUCUUGAAGAACAAUGGUAGGUAAUUAGUAGAUAGUCAUGAGCGCUUUGUUUUAAUCCAACAUUCAAACCUACCCGUCGAAACCUUUCAAACCAAACUCUUUGAGUUUGUUUUAAACCAUACAAGAAUUUUUCUCAAAUGACAUAUCAUAGACUUAUCAUAGUAAUACCCAGAAGGAGGUCGUAUAUAUACUAUCUCUUUCAAAUAUCCAUGAAGAAAUAUAUUUUUUACAUCCAUCUGAGAUAUAGUUCACUGACGAACAGCUGUGAGGGUAAUUACAGUGCACACAGUGGUCAUUUUAGCAACAUGAGCAAAUGUUUCAUCAUAAUAUAUGUCAUACUCUUGUUUGUAACCGUGAGCAACUAGUCGUACUUUAUAUCGCUCAAUCCCUCCAUCAGAUUUAAGCUUCACAAAAAAGACUCAUUUACUUCUAAUAAUCAAUGUGUGAGGAGGGCACAGUACAAGAUCCCAAGUGUCAUUUUCCAACAAAGCCUUUAUUUCUGCAUCCAUGACCUCUUUCCAACAUAACAUAGUCAAGGCUUGCUGAUAGGUGGAAGGGAUAUCAAUUGAAUCUAAAGGGAAAAAUAAUGAUCUAGGAAGUCAACAAAGAUCUAGGUGUUUGGAAGAAAUCUUAAUAGUACCAAGAGAAGUAAAAAAGCUCUAGGUUAUAGUGAAAAGUCAAAAUCAUCAAGGGAAAAGCCUUAUCAAUCAGGUGAAUGAGUUACACGUGAAGAAUGUCGUAAAUGGGUAGAGUUAUCAACAGAAAUAAGAUUAGGAGAAAAGAUGGAGGGAUAUAAUCACUUACAAGUCGUGUAGAGGUUAGACAUUACUCUGCAUGGUGAGAUGGAAUAUGUGUGGAUUGGUUUUGUUGGCCUUGCUAUUGUUGCACCAAAAGUUGUGAUGAUUUAUCAGUGGUACUAGCAUAUGAGAAAUCUGAAAAUAAAUGAGCAAAAAACCAUAUUGAUUU
rnacentral:lncRNA from 1 species